rnacentral:lncRNA from 1 species
AUAUAUUGAAAAGCAAAAUUAAUUUUUGAUGAAAGGUAAAAGCAAAUAAAUAACAGGAAAGCGGUUCAGGCUCUUGAGAGUCUCUUUUUAGUGUACCCCUUCUUUGUUAAACCGUGGUUUUGUGGAGCCUGCAACUUUUGUCACAGAAUGCUCGACAUAGGGAUAGUGAUCCGGCGGCGGCGGCGUUAGCUCACUUCUUAAUAGCUUAACAUUUAAGCAGGUGGAAUACCUGUAUGCUUCAUACUUUGUAUAUAGAUGCCUAAUGUUACGAAGUUUCCUUCAGUUUUAUGGUUCAUUGACUACUUGAUAAAAAAGUUGUAUUUUUUUUGGUAAUUUUAAUUUCUCUCUUAUUAUGAGUAAUAGGAUAACUAUUUUUGGGGGUAUG